UACGUAGGGGGCUAGCGUUGUUCGGAUUCACUGGGCGUAAAGGGUGCGUAGGUGGUGAGGUAAGUCUGAUGUGAAAUCUCCGAGCUUAACUCGGAAAUGGCAUUGGAAACUACUUUGCUAGAGGGUUGGAGGGGAGACUGGAAUUCCUGGUGUAGCGGUGAAAUGCGCAGAUAUCAGGAGGAACACCGGUGGCGAAGGCGGGUCUCUGGGGCAACAACUGACGCUGGAGGAGCGAAAGCGUGGGGAGCGAACAGG
rnacentral:rRNA from 1 species